UUCCCCACAGGCGGCGCUUUGGUCGGGCGAGCGGGGCCGGGGCCUUGCCGGGGCUGGGACGGCGGGGCCGGGCCCGCUGCGCGCCGCCCCCUGUAGCCGGGACGGCCGUGGGCCCGGCGGCUGAGGCCCGCUCCGCUGUUGCCGCCUGUUUUCAAAGCCACCCCGGGCGGGCGGGGCGGCCCGGACCCGCUGCGCCGCGCCCUGGCCAAGCGGGCCGGCGGGGCACGGAGCGGGCCGGGCCGCGGCGGGGUGGGGCUGCGACCUGGCGGCGCGGCGGCCGGGAGCGGAGCGGCCGGGAGCCGCCUGCCCCGCUCGCCCCGUGGGGAACGGCGGGCCCGCACCGGGUCGUUUCACAGCUGUAACACUUAGGUGCAGCAAGGUGUUUUUUGCUCAAGGCAAGGCGCUAUGUCCGGCAGUUGUGGCUGCCUUCCCGAAAACUUUAAAAAACGACGCCCGGGUGCUUUUCUCCUUUGGACGAGUUCUGUGCCGGUGCGACUGCAGGUCUCGCUGGGCUGACUGGUCUCAGCUGGGUGUGUGUGGUGCCAGGCGCUGCCUGGGCAUGACACGGUGUCCAGCAGAGACAGGGAGAGGGACUGUUCUUCCCUGGCUCUCCCAAGGGACGCUCUCUGGGACAUCCAGAAGUUGGAAGCCCUUUCCAGGGUGGGUGCUUGACCAUGUUCCUUCUGGUGUUUAUUAAACACCACAUGAGGACACGCCAUCGUGGAGCCUGAAGAUGAUGCUACUGGAGUCCUUGAAGGGGUCCUGCAGCAUGGACGGUGUUAGUCCAGCCUAGCAGAGCACAGAACAAACAGCCCAGGCUAUGUGAGGAUGGUCCAUAUGGUCUAGGGCAGGUUCUGGAUUUAUUUCUCUACUAGUUGCAAAAGAAGAUAAAAGACUGCACGCUUUGAAAUAUUUCGGGAUCAUGUAUCAAUCAUCUUUGGAUGUUUCUGCCUGCUUAUAAGUGUACUUGUGGAAAAAAUAUCCUGUCUUAUGCCCUAACUCUAUGCGGGUCUGGAUACUGCAGCACGUCUGGCACUACCAGUAGGCAGUGGCUCACAACACCAGCGUGUAAGGUGGGAUGCAGGUGUCCCCUUUGUGCCCCUCUCGGGGGCGGCUGGGAGUCUGCACCCAUCAGAGCUGCGCAGGCUUCAGGCUGCCUUCUGGCCCCAGCAUUGAGCUUGGACGGUGUCAUCUUGAGCCCCCUGGGGUGGCACUUGAGACCCCUGGUAACUGUUCAUUCUGUCCACCUGUGGGCUGAGCAGAUCCACAGGCCCAAGAGCUGUUCCCGGUGGCGGGGUGCUCCUGGGGACAGCAGGUGACACCCAACCCAGUUGUCUCUGCUUUGACAGCUGUAUCUGAGGACUGAAAGCAGCUUUCUGCUCUCUUUCCCUCCUCUCUCCGAUCUCUGUCUUCACAGAAUCUAUUUGCUAUUUUGAAAUGUGCAACAUGAACAGCCUCUUACUGCACAGAAGGACACUUCUUCCUGUGCUGAGAUGUUGAUAAAUACUGCAGUCCAUUCCAAACCUCACCCCAUACUGCAGCAUGGAGGAGGACUUUGUGGCCCUGGGUUUAUUCCAGAGGAGGGAUCACCUCCUGGGUUUAAAGCAACAGUUCGAUUUGGAAGAGGUGUGUGUGUUUGCCUUUCUCUGCUGGUGCACCUGCCUGUGGAAAGGGUGCUACUGAAUGUGCUUCUGUGUGAAUGUGGAGCAAAUACUUUCUGCAGUGCCAUGAGUGUCUUAAAUGCCUGCCCUGGGCAAUGCCAGAAGACAGGGGAAGGUCCCAGGGAGCAGCUCCCAACCCACUGUGUCUCUGCAGUGCUCUGGUGCAUCACUUGCAGUUUUAGCACAAUCGCGGCAGGUGCUUUUUCUUAAGGGCUCAAUUUUGCCACUGGAAGUAAUUAAUAAUCCAUACAUCAGCAGUUGCUGAGGACAGAUAAGUUCUCUGUUAUGGUUGAGGAAAUUCCUGUAAAAUGAUUCACAGACGCACAGGCUGGUUGAGGUUGAAGGCACCUCUGAAGGUCACCCUGUCCAACCCCUGCUCCAUCAGGGCUGCCCAGAACCAGUUGCCCAGGACCAUGUCCAGGUGGCUUUUGAGUAUCUCCACAUAUGGAGACUCCACCACCUCUCUGGGCAACUUGUGCAAGUGCUUGGUCACCCUCACAGAGAAAAAGUGUUUCCUGAUGUUCAGGGGGACCUUGCUGUGUUCCAGUUUGUGCCCGUGGCCUCUGGUCCCGUCCCUGGGCACCACUGGAAGGGCCUGGCUCUGUCCUGUCUGCACCCUCCCUCCAGCAUCUCCACACCGACGGGAUCUCCCUGAGCCUGCUCUGCUCCAGUGAACAGUCCCGGCUCUCUCAGCCUCUCACAGCAGAGACGCUCCAGUCCCUGCAUCAUCUCCAUGGCCCUUCACGGGACUCUCUCCAGUAUGUCCUUUCUCUCUUGUACUGGGGAGCCCAGCACCCCAGGGCUGCCUCCCCAGAGCUGAGCAGAGGAGAAGGAUCCGCUCCCUCCACCCGGUGUGACACUUGCAAUGCAGCCCAGGAUGCUGUUUGAACACGAGCCAACAACGUGCUCUUGCAGCAAGAUGGCAACCUGAUGGCCACCAGGACCCCCAGUGCCUUUUCUGCAGAGCUGCUUUCCAGCUGGGUGGCCUGCAGUGUAUACCUGUACAGACUUCAGGAAUAUUUUGAAAUCAGAGAAGCCACAAAGGCAAUAAACAUGUCAAUGUUGUUUGAAACACCACUAUUUUAAGCCAAUUUUGUGAUUAAAAGUAAUGUGUAUUUACGAAGUGCCGACGAGUCUGCUUUUCUCCAUGCUCCUCGAUGGCCUGUUGCGUGCAGUGUAUCCAUCCUCUUUCCAAAGAGCAGAUCUUUCUCUGGCUUUGCUGUGGUUUUGUGAGAGGGCGGUUGUGAGAUUGUGGCGGAGUUGGAGACUCGUGUGUGUAGUAACUGUAGAAGUACUUGAUUUCUAAGCCUCUGUGCCACUGGUCUGGACCAACACCCAAUGCUUCUUGCUGGAUGAGCUAGAACCUUUGUGAGCAGCAGAACGGCUGUAGCUUGGUUGCCUUACAGCAUGUGUUUUGUGGCCGGUUUCCUCUGCACAUGCCCUUGUGUGUCCCCAGCUGCUCUCUGCUGCUCAGGAAAUCCAGCCCUGCCCUGUGUGAUGAGAGGUGAUACAGAGACCCUUGUCCUCUGUGCAGGUGCUUGGUUUCCCGAACUUGGAGGCUUUACUCUGACAGAGACCACUGUUAUGGAGACAUCUACUCUUGCUGUCAAAACUGAUUGAAUUAGCUUGGUGGGGUCUGACUGCAGACAGAUGUCCAUGUGCACGUACGUACUAAUACAUGGAGAACACAAUUGCAAGAACUGUUUUACUGGAGCAAAGCAGGCCAACAAAGAGAGGUCCUCUGGAUGAAAGUUGUCUUGAAAAAUUCCUCCUUCCAGCCAGCGCGUUGGGGUUGUUUCGGGAGGAAUCACAGGUCAGCGUGUGUGUGUGGCUGGGGUUUCUGUGGCUAUUCUGCUUUCUGGCUUCUCCAGGGUGGGAGCCUGAGGUCCUUGGCUGUCCCUCAGCAGAAGGCAGAAAAGAGGAGUGGGUGUGCAGAGUUUUAGGUCCCUGUGGACCCAAGGAGAGGCUGAAUGGCAGGCUUGUUGGGGAGUGGGACUGACCUACACCCUCUGUAAGACAUACGGAGUUACACUCAGUACUGGAAAAAAUGGAGAACUCACAGCCUCACUGCUAAGUCCAAAAUAGCCUUCACUGCUACAGUUGCUUGCUAUUUUAAAAUCUGGAUGGUGGGAUUUUUGAAAGCUGCUAGGUGUUGGCUUAAUUCUGGUCCUGUCAGAGUGGGCAGAUUUUUACCAAGCAUCCCUAGGGCACGUGUAGGCCAAAAGCUUUUUAAGAUCCCAACUAAAUAAGAAAUUUAGAAAAUAGAUAAACCUUUUGUUCAUCAUCUAGAGCAGUCACCAGAAAGGAAAUGAAUUAAUUUGUUCUGCUGAUUGUGCUAAUUUGUAGGAAGUAUGGUUUCCAUCCUGGGAGAUUUUCAAGACCAGACUGGGAAAGGUCCUGAGCAACCUGGUCUGAUCCCAUCACUGACCCCGCCGUGAGCAGGAGGUUCAACUAGACACCUCCUGAGGUUCCUUCCAGCCUGAAUUAACCUGUGAUCCUUAGUGGGUCAUACCGGGGCUUGCAAGAGAACCCUUGAAGUGAUCUCUGGGGUGGUGGUAUCAGCUCAGGCUCUGGUUCUAUGCCCAGGUGCAACCAGACGUCUCAGAUGCGGGCAUCGUCUCUGUGACAUCUGUCAGAGGUGCUGCUGUUGGGGAGCAGGGUUGUCCAAAGGGAUGUGUGCUGGUGCCUUUUUCCUGCUGUGACAGUGAUGCUAGGGCAGCUCAUAGGGGUGGCUGUACUCCUUUACAGAGAUGCAUGUUUUCUGCUUUUCCUUAUAUGCUGCUCCUGACCUGAGAUAUUUCACAGCAGAUUGGGCGUCCAGGGGCUUUUCUGCCAGGGUUUUGAAAACUGUGUGUUGCAAACCAUGUCUCCUGUCCUGAUUCUUUUUUCUCUGGGUUGGGGAGGGAGCUCUGCAGCCUGGCUGUUGUGUGGUGCCCACCAGCAAGGCCUCAGAGCAUAGGAGGGCAGCUCUGGGGCUUGGGGUCAUCUCAGAGUUAGAUGAGCAACGUGCUGUGGUUCAUGUCAGCACAUUUUGGUGGUCUACUCUUGUCUGACACCAUGGAAGCCCUUGACAAGAGGUGAGAGAGCACUGGGAGUGUCUGGGUUUCAGCUGUGGCAGGGGUGUGCUUACAAGUGCACGCCAACUGACGCGGGGAAAAGACUUGACAACCUAGGAGGUUAUAAAGAAGGUGUGUUUAUCCAGCACCGGGCGCGCGGGGAUCACUCCUUCUCAGGCAAGCGCGGGAGAUCCUGGCGGCAGGAAGUGUGUUUAAAUGUAGCAAGGUGUUACAUAUUCACGGUGAUCCCAGGAGUGCCUGUUGUGGAGGUUUGAUUGUGGGGUGACAAUAAACCCUGGCAGAUGUAUUGUUGACCCCCUAUCCCCCUCUUUUUCCCCCUUUAGCCCCUCCUUCUCUUCCCUUCCCAGUAAGGGCAAGUGAUUGGGAGGGAAAGAAGGACUGAGAGAAGAGAGUUGGAAAAAUUAACAAUGUUUUACUAAUGCUACUGAUAAAAUAGAGAAAAUAAUACAAAAUAUACAAAACCAAUCUUGAAAGUCCCAGCAACUGCAGAGCCGGCACCCGGAGUCCUGGACUGGACUCUGCAGCCAACCGGAGCUGGAUUCAGUCUGUCACUGGCCUCAGUUGGCAGGGACAACUCGCAAGGUCCUCUCCUAAUGUCGGCCAUAGGGAAAAGGGAUGAGAUCCUCGUGAUCUCCCACUUUUCUGUGAAGUGUCACGUGAAUGGGAUGGAAUACUUAGUUGGUCAGUUUCAAUUCACUGCUUCUCCUUGCCCCUCUUGCAGGAUGUGCAUCCAUCCUUAUCAGCAACCUUGCAUUCCAUUGCUAUGUCUACCAAAACAUGUAUCUAACUUUCAGUAAAGUGCAGUCAGUAAGAAGACGUUAGCUGACAGGAAAAUUCACUAAAGGAGAAACUUGUUUUUAACAAAACCAGGACACCUAUACAUAUUCAUAACCUUUCCCCAAAAAGACAGUUCUGGAAAAUCAUUUCCAUGGUCUCCUCCUUCAGCUCCUCCCUGUUGUACUGUGCAGUGCCAACCUGGUGGUCGUGGGCUGGGGUCUUUGGAAGAAGGCUGCUCAUCUUCACUGUGGAAUUUUCAUCUCUGGCCUCGUAUGCUGAGCUGGCUGGGGCUCAAACUGCUGGACUGGUUUUAACUGGAUCAUCAUCCUCCCUUGUGCUGAAGACUCUCGUUAUCUCGUCCACCCAAGGAUGCUGCUGGGCCUCUUAUCUUUGCAGAGUGUGCUCCCUUCACCAAAAUCCUGUUUCUAACACAGUAGGUUACACAACGCUCUAAGCUAGGCACUUGCUAUGUGUUUAACCCUUUAAGUGUUAUUUCCCUCUGCCACCGACAACGUUCUUGCAUUUCAUGUGUGACCUUGGAAUAGUUUUGGGCCUGUCUCCCACCGUGGAUCUUAAAAGGAGAGAAACGUGGCUUUAGAUAUCUGUAACCAUAAGGUUUUGUGGUGUCCAGGACCUCAAAGUCUUUGCUCUCCUGCAGGAUGGAGCAGGACACUGGGGGAGUUGUUUGCAGUGUUUGUGCUCCACACGUGGUUCAAGGGCAGGAGUUGGGUAAGGUGUUAAGAAAAGGUUUCUGCUAACAAGAAAGAGGUUGCUCUGGCCAGAGGUACCAGGGGGAGCACAGACACCGCUGCUGAGGGGCAGAGGAGGAACAGGAGUGACAGAUUGUUGUGGGACAGGGCCGUGGUCUGUAUGGCUCCCUCAGUGCUCCUGACCCUCUGAGCUGGGCUGCCCAGCUGUGGUGCAGUAGGGGACAAGCCCUUUGCUGCAGUGAGGCCUUUCCCAGGAAUCACAGAAUGUCCUGGAUUGGAAGGGACCCACAAGGAUCAUCAAGUACAACUUCUGUCCCUGCAUAUGACAACCCCACACUUCACACUACCUGUCUGAGGAUGUUGUCCAGUCUCUUCCUGAACACUGUCAGGCUUGGGGCCUGUUCCAGUGUCCAGCACCUCUGGCUGAAGAACCUUUUCCUAAUGUCCAACGUGACCCUUCCCUGGCACAUCUUCUGCCGUUCCCUGGGCUCUGUCACUGUCACAGAGCAGAGCUCACCCUGCCCCUCCUGCUCCUGCUGAGGAACCUGCAGCCGCUAUGAGGUCUCCUCCAGGCUAGACAGACUAGAGACUUUAGCCGCUCUCCGUAUGUCUUCCCCUCUAAACCCUUCACCAACCAAGGAGGUUGUGGAAGGAGGGAUUAUCUGGAGGUUUAAGUCCUAAAUCUCUCUUUUUUUUUUUUUUUUUUUUCUAGUUUAAGGAAUAGUGCCGCAAUCUGUAAUCCACAUUCAUUCUGUUCACCCUUGUAACUCAUAAGGCACAGGAGAACCAACCUCAACAGCACUGGCAGGCAGCUCCGCAAGCAUUUGGAGAGUGUUUGACACAUGAUAAUUAGUGCUGGUUAUUUCCUGUGCAAUUGUUUGCUAUUGUGUUUGCAUCAUAGACUGCUGUACAGAGAUGAGUUUGAGCAUUACCCAGCUUAGGCACUGGAUGUGGUUAUUUCUCUUCCUUUCUAGGCAUUUCAAGUCCCAAGUUCUGUUUCAAUAAAAAACAGACAACAGCUCACACAAAACAAGGAGUUGUCCUUGAAACAUUUGACACAAGUGAUGAAUCAAGGAUAAAUAUCAGAUUUAAGUGCCUAAGAAAGCAGAUAGUUUCCUGGAUGGUAUUGGGAAGCACCAAGACAGGCUGGCUGCAAAAUUCAUUGUGGCUUUAAGUUGGAGUCUGGUGUCCAGCUGAGUUACUGAGUUCCUUCAGUUCUCCUGAUAUGUAACAGCGCUUUUCUGAUGUUGCACCUGGAGGGCCUUAAAGGUCCAUACCAUUUGCAGUUGAACAUCAGGUAUUUCUGAUCACAAACAUGACAGCACUGCAAGAGAGAGGAAGAAAUAGAUCUUCCCUAACACGAGCCCACUAUGCCACUCUUUACCCUCUGGUUGUGACACCUUUAUCUUAGUGUCUCAGGUUUUAAAAUUCCAGACUUUGUUCUUUGUAGACAAAUUCUUAUUUAAGAGUGCUUCAUUAAGAUGAUCAUCCUGUUUUGCACAUGGCUGUCUUCUCUUUCAAGUUCAGAUUGUAUCAAAAGCGAUCACGACACAAGUGUGGUGCCCUGCUUAGCCCCACAGCAGCCCGUCCUCCAUCCCAGCAGCAAGUGCUUUGAAGAGGGUGUGCGAAACCAGGCAGGUCCAAAAUCCUUUCCCAGCCCAGUGUCCUCAGUCUCCAGCAGUCUCUGUUACACUCGGACCGUCAUUUUCAGGAGGCAUGGAGAAAUCCACCUUCCCUGAGCACAUCUGAUGAUAUUGCUUGUUUUUUGCUUAGCUCUGUGUGUCCAUUAUGUUUUCGUGAGGGCAGGAGCAGCACUGAGAGCCGUCCCUUGACAAGGUGCCCUGGGUACCAGGAGACAAUGCCAUUCUUCUCUCCGGCUUGCAGACAGGUCUUGGAAUGGAGACAUCCUGGUGUAGGCACCAUCCUGCCUGCUGGGGCCCGGGAGGGGCAGGUUGCUGCCCCAGGGACAGGGGACCGAGGAAGGCAAGCUGGCAGGACCACUGUGGCCAGGUUCUGCUAGAAGCUCAGGUCACCAGGCAAGGUCUGAGGUCAAGCCAGGACACCAGCUGUUGGAUCAGGUUCCUCUGCUGCCAGGCACUGCUGCGGCGUGGCAUAGAUACGCUGAGAGUGUGCUGACAUGGAGCCCCGGGGUCCCAGGGGAGGCUGGUCAGGGCCAGUAAGGCCCAGUAGUGCCCUCAGGACCUUGACAGCUUGCCUACUCCUUGAAAUUCAUGGCUAAAUGGGUUGAUUCUCACAGUCCUGUGAGAAUCUCAGCUGCAUGCAGUGGCCUUCAUGUUCCCCUCUCAUCUCCCAGUCAACUCCUGUCACUUGUGAAAUUCUCUUUUACAGACAGUUAAAAGAUCAAGGGUGACUGCCCAAUGGGAGAACUGCAAGGGGAACUUCAGGGACCUCCAUCUUCUCCAGGGUAGGAUUUUCCAACCCUCAGUCACAGUCUGUGUCAGAGCGGUGUAGGCCUCAGUGGGACCCAGGAGUGGCCAUAGUUCAGGUGGACCUGCUGUGCUCAUACCAUCAUAUAGCGGAGCCAGUGACUGACUCUGUGCCCAAGCAAGGUGAUGGACAGCAGAGCAGAGAUGGAGGUUGUGAGAAGCACGAAGGGGAAUGCUGCUGGGGAGGUCAGCGUCCAUGUGGUCACCACUGAGAGCACUCACCUGCCAACGACUGCCUUCAUUAUACCAGCAAAUGCUGCUACCAUCAACCUUCCCACGAGCACCUUAGAAAUUCAGCGUUUCCCCCGGGAACCACAGAGAAGCACAGGGGCUGAGAGGCCAGAGAGGGGAGCGGGGAGUGAGCCCAUCACAGCUACUGUCAUUCCUCAGAUCAGCGGGGUGCAGACCUGCAGCACAGUCCGUGUACUGGAGUGGAAAGAUGGGGUGGCUACUUUGCCUGGGAGUAACCUGCGGUUUCGAAUAAAUGAGUACGGGACGCUGAAGGUAGUGAGCGCUGAUAAGAUGCCUCCAGUGGAAGCUAUAAAGGAGGGUCACACAGAGAAAGAUGGGGACUCAGAAGUGGCACCCACCAGCAGGGACAAUCCUACUGUGGCUCAGGAUGUGCUGGAGCAGACCAAGCUGCCAACAGCAGAAAGCAUGUACCACUGUGAUACCUGUGGCCAGAGACAUGUGUCAGAUGGAGCCCGGGAAGGCAGGGGCUUCUGCAGUGAGCACUGUCACCAGCAGUUCAAAGAAAGGUCUGUCAUUGUGGAAAACUCUGCCAGCAGCACCAAUGCCACUGAAAUCCUCAAGCCAGUGAAGAAACGAAAGAGGAAGGACUACCAGAGCCCUUCGGAGGAUGAAUAUGAAUCUGAGCAAAUGGAGGAAAAGCAGGAAGAGAUGAAAAACUCUGCAGAGGACUCUGCCAUCAGCAAUCUGGAGGCUGAUGCAUGGAACGGGACUCAGCACGGUAUGGAGGGAUCAGGUGGGCAAUGGGGUGCCAGUGAGGAGAAGAAAGAAGGCUGGUCUUGGGCGUCCUACUUGGAGGAGCAGAAAGCUGUCGCUGCCCCUUUAGAUCUCUUCCAGGAUUACCAAGUAGCUUCCCAGCACAAGAAUGGCUUUAAAGUGGGGAUGAAGCUGGAGGGGAUUGAUCCGCAGCACCCAUCUAUGUACUUUAUCCUGACAGUGGUUGAGGUUUGUGGUUACCGGAUGCGCCUGCACUUUGAUGGCUACUCUGAGUGCCAUGAUUUCUGGCUGAAUGCUGACUCCCCCGACAUCCACCCUCCUGGCUGGUUUGAGGAGACGGGGCACAAACUCCAGCCCCCGAAAGGGGUUGUAGGUUAUAAGGAAGAAGAAUUCAGCUGGACAAACUACCUGAAGAUAACGAAGGCUCAGGCAGCUCCUAAACACCUCUUUAUGGUCCGAAACACUCAUGAGGCUUUCCCAGGCUUUGAGGUGGGCAUGAAGCUCGAAGCUGUGGACCGCAUGAACCCUUCCCUGAUCUGUGUUGCCACAGUGACUGAUGUGGUGGACAAUCGCUUUUUGGUGCACUUUGACAACUGGGAUGAUACUUAUGACUACUGGUGUGACCCCAGCAGUCCAUACAUCCACCCAGUUGGAUGGUGUCAGGAGCACGGCAAACCCCUCACACCUCCUCAAGAUUAUCCUGACCCUGACAACUUUACCUGGGAAAAGUACUUAAAGGAAACAGGAGCAUCUGCUGUCCCGGCUUGGGCCUUUAAAGUGCGCCCGCCUCACGGCUUUCUGGUCAACAUGAAGCUGGAGGCAGUGGACAGGAGGACUCCUGCCUUCAUCCGAGUGGCUAGUGUGGAGGAUGUGGAAGAUCACAGGAUAAAGAUCCAUUUUGAUGGCUGGAGCCAUGUCUAUGAUUUCUGGAUUGAUGCGGAUCAUCCAGACAUCCACCCCAUAGGCUGGUGCUCAAAAACUGGACACCCACUACAGCCUCCUCUCAGGCCAAAGGAACCAGCCUCCUCUGCCCACGGGGGCUGCCCAACCCUGGGUUGCAAGAGUAUCCCUCACACCAAGAGCUCCAAGUACAGCUUUCACCACAGGAAGUGCCCCACGCCAGGCUGUGAUGGGUCAGGACACGUGACUGGGAGAUUCACAGCCCAUUACUGCCUCUCAGGGUGCCCGCUGGCAGAGAAGAACCAGGGCAGGCUUAAGGCAGACUUGUCUGACACCGAGGCCUCAACUCGCAAGAGGAAUAUGAUUGGCUUCCCUCAGCGAAAGAAAUCUAGGCACCAUGGGAGCUGUCAACCCUUUGGGUCAGGGUCCAAGAGGUAGUCCUUGCUCCCACUGACAGGGCAUCGCUCUGUGCGGUGCGGAGGAGGGCCCUUGGGCCAGUCCCAACCAAGUUGGAAAUCAGUCUUCCUGUCUCUUUAGAGGACGACCUCCAAAGUACCGGAAGAUCCAGCAAGAAGACUUCCAGGCUAUUGCUUCAGAGAAUAUGCACCAAUCGCUCUUCAUGUCUGCCCUGUCUGCCCACCCCGACCGCUCCCUGUCACUCUGCUGGGAGCAGCACUGCAAACUGCUGCCAGGUGUGGCUGGCAUCACAGCAACUACAGUGGCCAAGUGGACCAUUGAUGAGGUCUUUAGCUUUGUUCAGACUCUGACGGGUUGUGAGGACCAAGCCAAGCUCUUCAAGGAUGAGAUGAUCGAUGGUGAGGCGUUCCUCUUGCUGACGCAGGCUGACAUCGUCAAGAUCAUGAGUGUCAAGCUGGGCCCGGCACUCAAGAUCUACAAUGCCAUCCUCAUGUUCAAGAAUGCUGAUGACACCUUAAAGUGAUUUUUCUUGGCCCAGUCAUGAUCUUCUCUCAGCAGCAGUGCUGCCAAACUGUCUGGUCAGGACAGAUUCCCCCCAACUGACUGCAGUUUGUCAUGUCCUGCUCAUGUCUUCUCGGAUGCCGCAUCUCCACUCUCCCACCAGUCCAUCUCCCCCCAUCCUCUCCCCUCCGCUCCCCACUGCCCUUCUCCACCAGCACUGGGUACAGGCUGAUUUCAAGCCUCAGUGGCGACUGCAGGGACAGGAUGUGAGACUAACCUGUCUUAGCACGACAGCUGCCCUGCAUGUCCUGCUGUGGCUGCACCGAUUUGGGGGCUGUGUUGGGGGAUGGGGGAGCAGGGCAGAGGGUAUACCAGCUGAGGCUGACACCACUGCUCAGGUCACCCAGAAAAGAGAAGGGACUGAUGGCCUGUGUAUGUGCUUGUACCCCUUUAAAGGCUGGUCUUGGCUUUGCUCAGCAGCUAAAAGAAGAAUUUUUUUCCCCUGAGUGUAUCCCCCAGGGUGUCUUGUGCUAACGUCAUUUCCAAGAGAUGCUCUAAAGGAGCUUCUGCUCACUUUGCCUUUUUCUCUGAAUUCUUUUGACUUUCUCUUUCAAGACCAGAUGCUGACUUUGCUUUGCCCCGUCAUCGCGCUGGGUACCAGUGGCCUACCUCUUGCCCCUUCCAGCGAGCAGAGUGUCCUGGCUGCUGCUCUGCCCACAACCAGCCUCGGUGCUUUAUUCCUCUUUACUGUAAUGCAGCAGCCUCAGGGCCUCACAGGGCCAGGGCUGGGAGGGUGCAGAACAAGCUCAGUUUCCUCUUGUGCUUCGGGCUGUCUUGGCCAGCACGUUUCUGGGAGAGAGGAUGCUUGGUUAAUUUGUUCCCCUUGCAGCAAUUAAAAAAUACUUUGCAAGGGAGAGUCGGGCCCUCUUUGGUCUAUGUAUUGGGAGCAAGGCCCUUUCUAGAAUGGGGACAGCUGCCGAGGACAAGAAGCAUCCGUUCCUCCAUAGGCAGCUCACUUCUGAAGGCAUUCCUGAGCUGGCGGACUCCGUUGUGCCAAGCUGCCUUCUCCCAUUUUUUUGUCCUCGUGAGGCCUCUGGUUUUGGUGUCUAAAGAGCAGAAUCUUCUGCUGUCCCUGCAUUCCUUACCUGCAGAGCUAAAAGAAAUUCAGCAGUUAGCUGGGUUUUUCUGCCAUCCUUUUUGCAACAUAGCACCUUUUCAACAAGGGUUCGGGCACUUUGGAAGUGCCCAUGUGACACUGUCCCUUGUAACGGAGGAGAGGCUGAGUAGUCAAGGACUGCAGAGCCAGGAAAGCCAACGUGCCUGGGGGUGCUGGCAAAGUCCCAGGCAGCUUCUGCUAGUCCCCGUGUUCCCCGGCAGCAGCCACGCUGCUCUCUCCAUGGCCUGUCACCCUCCCGUGCACGUCUGCUGUGGAAGCAGUGGUGUGGCACUGGCGGGCGGCCGCUCCACAGUCCAAGGUGAUGUGAUCCAAGUCCCACGUCCACUUUCUUUCCCAUUUCCAUGAAUGACAUAUCAUAAGCAAAACAAUAUUUCCCCCUUUCUCAGUGCCCAAAGACAGGCAUGAAGGAAUCUUAGUGCACCAGCAAUGUGUCUUGGAGCAGCACUGCCUUGUGAGUCACUGUCACCUGGGUCAAUCUGUUCUAGGCUUCCCAUGGAAAUGUAGCAUUUUGACUCUUGUUAUUGAAUAUUUGAGGUCACAUUUGACCUGCUCCUGAAAUGUCUGCUGCUUACUCUUCACAGAGGACUUAAAACUAGUCCAUGUAUUUGUUUUGUCAAUGCUUGGGUUACAUUUGGCAGCUCUCCCUCUCCUUUUUAAAUUUUCUUCCAUUUCUUCAAGCACUGCAGUGUGGCCAGCUGUGGAGAGAGAGGGAGUGGGAAGGAACAGCCAUGUCCAUGAUCCCAUGGUAAAUGGUACUGAAGUUGGUCUCUUCAGUAGAUGGGGAGUCUCUUUGUGGGCCACUGUACGCUGGGGGAGAAGAAGAGGAGCCCUGGGACUUUCAGCUGUAAGUCUUACAGCUACGCAAACAGUGCUGAGACCUCUCCAGGUGUGAUCUGGAACAGAGUGGCUCCCUUGCACAGAACGUAGUUACUGAGCUUAUAAGGAAACAUCUUAGGAAAUCAUCCUGUUCUCAUCUGCCCCAUUCACUCAUGCUAAGUCAUUCCUUCUGUUGGGUCAGGGACUAAGCACUGUCCCCGAGUGCUGUGAGAGGAGUUGCUACCUAAGAAUCAGAUCUGAAACUAGUCUGAAGGAUGGAGAGCCUUGUCCCUCACAAGGCAGCCCUGGAGAGCAGAGGUGAUGGGGAGCUCAGGAGAUCCCUGCUGGAGGGGAAGUGGAGCCAUGAGCUACGGCUGACCCACAAGACUGGGUGCAACCAAUACCACUGGCUCUUGCUCUGCCAUUGGGUGCAAUCCAGCCGUGCUCUGCCUGGGCACCAGCAAGGCAGGCAGAGAUACUUGCUCCAGACUGAGCCAGCCAUGGGCUCGCAGGGAGCUGCACCUGCGGGGUACUGCCUUACCUGGGCUCUUUUGACCUCCAUCUCAGAGUGCAGAUGAAAACGGGACAGGGCUGCCGAGUUGUUCCUCCCUGGCUGUGGGCUCUGGCUGCACAGCUGGGCCCCGGCUCUCUGGAUGUGAGCUCUGUGGGGGAGCAGCUGCCGGGAAAACCAGCCUCCCUGGAAGGGCGAUGUGCGCAUGUGUCACACGCUUUCCUGCUGUCCUGAGCGUCAGUUCGUCAGCCUCUUGAGCUGACUCAGCCGUUUGGGUACAAAGUUUCUGGAUUCAUCUGGGUGAAAGACUUACAGGGUUUGUAGGUGGUCAAGGGCUAUUUACUGUUUAGACUUACAACCUUCUUCUUGUUUCCUUUAAAACUAAACCCAAAGCAUUGUGUGUACAUGUGAAUGGGUGUUUAUGGAAGUACCAUGAUGCCAUUUCCUCUGCUGUUGGUGUGUCGCUGUUUUAAUGUGGUGGUCCGUCUCUGUGGCUGUGCAGGUGGCAGGCUCUGGUCCCAGGGUCUCAGGCAAUGUGUCCUCUGUGAGCAGAAGUUGUCUGUGGUCCCAGCAGGAAAGCCAGGAGAAGGAAGGUUUGCUACAUCACUGGCCUUGCCAGUUCUUCCAUCUCCACAGAGCACUGAUUGUGAGUCCCCCGCCAGGGAGCAUCAAGGGCAGCUGUGACCAAGGCAGAAGCACCAAAGUUUUUCAUCCUUCCCCUGUUCCCUGACCAAACUUCUCACAGGGGUGUCUGUUGCCAUGUCACUAAGAAUCUGGAGAGGACAAUGUGGCUGAGUCUGGCCCACAGGUUCCUCUCUGAGGUCUUUCUGAGAGAUGUGGCUGUAGCCAAAAUUUCUAGGUCAGUGAAGAAUUUUUCGAGUCAGCUGUUUUCUUGAGGGGAGACCCCCAAGCCCCUGCUUCUGCCGUUCCUGUCCCUGCUGCUGCAGAUACUGGCAGGGCUUAGCUGGAGCCAUGGGAGAUGUCCCACCACAUGCUCCAGCCUGAGGCACAGGGUGUCUGCUGGGGCGGCUGGUCCACGGGUGGCUCCAAGUGCAUGGGAGCAGUUGGAGCUCCUCAGAAAUCAUGACGGCGCAAGGCCAAGGUGCCCGUUUCCGUGAAAGCAGCCAGCCUGAAGCUCAGCAAGCAGGGCAGUUGUGCCUGCCUUGCCAGCGCAGAGUUGCCUGCCUGCCUCUGCCUUCCUCCAGGGAUUUCUGUGUAGAUCACAAGCACUUUCAGAGAUGACAUAAGCCCUCCAAAUUGUCUAGGAGGGUGGAGGGCUUAAGGCAGCUGCUGCCUGCAGGGGCAAAUCUGAGGACCUGAGUGCAAUGAGGGGCACUGGAGAAGAAGAUGGAGCCAUGAGAGGGAUGCAGCUUGGCUGCUUCUGCUCCUCUUCCUCACUCCUCAGCCUCUGGGAGUGAAUCCCUGGGGCAGGGCAUAGAGAAGGACCUGACCCGGCUCCCUUCCUCCGGUCUGCCCUGGGCCUGAGGCUCACUGCUCCUUGGAGGGAGACGCUGGGGGGUGGCGUGUUUUUGAAGGCGUGUGAUUAUGAUAACAAAAGCUUUUUUGCACUUUCGUUCAUUUUGCACUAGUUCGUUUGUUUGUUUUUUCCUGCUUUUUUGAUAUUUGCAUCUUCUCUUUUGUGUUUUCAUAACAAACAUACUUUUGUUAGCCAGUGAAGCUAUUCUGGAACUUUAUGUCCUGAGUGUACAGCAGUUUAAAGGUCAUAUAUAUAUAUAUAUAAAUUUACAUCUGUCUAAAAGUAAAUUUAUAUAUAUAGAGAUCAUGGUGUGAUGUGUUUUGUCGGUGAUUUUAAAUAAUAAACGAAUGUGAGCAGUGGA